rnacentral:rRNA from 1 species
UACGUAGGUGGCAAGCGUUGUCCGGAUUUACUGGGCGUAAAGAGCGCGCAGGCGGUCGUUCAAGUCGCGUGUGAAAGCCCCCGGCUCAACUGGGGAGGGUCACGCGAUACUGAUCGACUCGAAGGCAGGAGAGGGAAGUGGAAUUCCCGGUGUAGUGGUGAAAUGCGUAGAUAUCGGGAGGAACACCAGUGGCGAAGGCGGUUGCCUGGAGCUUUGCUGACGCUGAUGCGCGAAAGCGUGGGGAGCGAUCCGG